UAGGGAGACCUGUUUCAUAAUUGGCACCAAGAUGAAAGUCUCAGUCCGAAAGUGAAAGCAUCCCAAGGUCGUACGAGGCAAGUAUUGAUUUAAACUUUUAAACUAUUAACCGGUUCGGUGCAUGGGCUAUUAGCUCAGGUGGUUAGAGCGCACCCCUGAUAAGGGUGAGGUCCCUGGUUCGAGUCCAGGAUGGCCCAUCCCCUAACCGGGAGUGAGCAAACAAUUGUGAAAAGACAACCCUCAGCACCUUAUACUUGUGCCUCGUCCUGAAUAGUCGAGAACAAGAAAGUCUGCUGGGCGUAAAGUCCAGUCAAGUACCUUGAAAACUGCAUAGCGAUAAAGAAGAGAAAAAGUUUGAGAAAAGCUCUAAAAGAGAGUGCUAAUUAAUUUAAGCACCAGUAUUCUAGAGCAAGUGG
rnacentral:tRNA from 1 species